rnacentral:other from 1 species
UAUGUCCUGCGAUGUACGUUUCGGUUAAUUGUUGUUUUGAACCAAUGACAAAGUCUCGGGAGACUUACAUUACGCCGCAGCUGAAAGGCCCUAUCCAAUGGAUUAGGGGACUUCAAAAGCGUCGUUGCGGUCACCCACCUGCUAAGGCAGGUUCGAGACACGAUAAUCGGACGGCAUAGGCGGGUCUUGC